rnacentral:lncRNA from 1 species
CCUAAGUCAUAUUCAUAUGCUUUGGCCAAAGACUUUAGAAUCAUAUCUUAGAGUAUACUCCUUCCACCAUGGAAGGUUAGAGAUCCCUUGUUAUGCAUUCAUAUGCCUACAUGACUAGAUAACUUGACCCCAACAAUGCCGUGGACACUCCGAGGGAAUGCCGUUGACAUGAUCAAAGAUCAAGGACCUAACCAUUAGACAUCUAUGAUGCCU